UCUGAAUCUGGAAGAGGGAGUUCAGCAUGGCUUACCACGUCAGAAAUUCAAUUUGGAUUCCAGGGGAGUGACCCAGGGAGAUUGAGUUGGGCCAUGUCCAUCUUCCAAGAAAGAGAAUCUCAACAUAAGGUUAUGUCAUUUUCUUCUUGGAGCUCUCUGGAAAG
rnacentral:lncRNA from 12 species